AUGAAGAAGUGGAGGUGCUUAGAUGGAAGCAGUGAUGUUGAAAGUUAUGAGAGAGCUGAAGGUUGUAAGGUGAUGAAGAAAAUUCAAAGGUGGAGGUUUGAAAGAGGCGAUGCAGAAUUGAAAAAGGAAGUUAGUAAAUCUGUUAGAAAGCAGUUAGAAAAGUUUGUUUGGAAUUAUGGAUUUCUGUUUGGCAGUUGUACUGUUUACAGGUUGAGUUCCAAGUGGCCAGUAGGAUUUAUGUUGAAGCAGUGUGAAGAUUAUGGUGAAGAGGUAAGGUCAAACUGUGGGAUUUCGUGGAAGACAUAUGAAGAUUAG